UGGGGGGAAAGGCUUCACAAGGGGAAGGAGGGUAGCCGGCUGGAAGGGUGACCGCCCCACCUGGGAAUGAGACCCGGCCCAGAUUCUUAGGGGAGGCAGCAGGGGGAAUAUUGCACAAUGGGCGGAAGCCUGAUGCAGGGACGCCGCUGGAGGGAUGACGGCCUUCGGGUUGUAAACCUCUUUCAGUAGGAAGAAGCGAGAGUGACGGUACCUGCAGAAGAAGCGCCGGCUAACUACGUGCCAGCAGCCGCGGUAAUACGUAGGGCGCAAGCGUUGUCCGGAAUUAUUGGGCGUAAAGAGCUCGUAGGCGGUUUGUCGCGUCUGCUGUGAAAGCCCGGGGCUCAACCCCGGGGUCUGCAGUGGGUACGGGCAGACUAGAGUGCAGUAGGGGAGACUGGAAUUCCUGGUGUAGCGGUGAAAUGCGCAGAUAUCAGGAGGAACACCGAUGGCGAAGGCAGGUCUCUGGGCUGUUACUGACGCUGAGGAGCGAAAGCAUGGGGAGCGAACAGGAUUAGAUACCCUGGUAGUCCAUGCCGUAAACGUUGGGCACUAGGUGUGGGGGACAUUCCACGUUUUCCGCGCCGUAGCUAACGCAUUAAGUGCCCCGCCUGGGGAGUACGGCCGCAAGGCUAAAACUCAAAGGAAUUGACGGGGGCCCGCACAAGCGGCGGAGCAUGCGGAUUAAUUCGAUGCAACGCGAAGAACCUUACCAAGGCUUGACAUUCACCGGACCGCCCCAGAGAUGGGGUUUCCCUUCGGGGCUGGUGGACAGGUGGUGCAUGGUUGUCGUCAGCUCGUGUCGUGAGAUGUUGGGUUAAGUCCCGCAACGAGCGCAACCCUCGUUCUAUGUUGCCAGCACGUGAUGGUGGGGACUCAUAGGAGACUGCCGGGGUCAACUCGGAGGAAGGUGGGGAUGACGUCAAAUCAUCAUGCCCCUUAUGUCUUGGGCUUCACGCAUGCUACAAUGGCCGGUACAAAGGGUUGCGAUACUGUGAGGUGGAGCUAAUCCCAAAAAGCCGGUCUCAGUUCGGAUUGAGGUCUGCAACUCGACCUCAUGAAGUCGGAGUCGCUAGUAAUCGCAGAUCAGCAACGCUGCGGUGAAUACGUUCCCGGGCCUUGUACACACCGCCCGUCAAGUCACGAAAGUUGGUAACACCCGAAGCCGGUGGUCACUAACCCCUUGUGGGAGGGCUAUGC
rnacentral:rRNA from 1 species